UAAGGGAUAAAAUUGAUUCUCAAAAUUAAAAUCUAAAAGCUACUCCUUCCCUACUUUUCAAAAUCAGCCGUAAGAGUGAUUGAUUUUGACAAAAGUAAUUUUGAUUUUUUUUUAUCAAACACUAAAAUUAACUUUUAAAUUUUCAAAAUCACUUUUAAAACUCCCAAAAACAAUCCCAAACGGACCCUUAAUAGCUUAAAAAUCACUAGUUUGAUGAUUUUUUGACACCCACCCACGAAAACAUUUCGACAAUAAACAUGUGAAUGUGCAAACUAUAAUGUUGUUCACAUAUCCAGAAAGUCUUUUUUCUUUUGCGGAUUCGAUUGGAAAUUAAUAACAACUUUAGUAUUCCAUGUGCAAAAUGUGACUUAUGACUUUUAUAUACUAACAGGUCCAAACUGAAAUUAAAUUGAAUCGAACAAAAAUUUAGACCGAAAUAUACUAGUAGUUCCAAACCAAAAUUGAAUUGAACCAAAAGUUAGGUUCUAAAUUUCAUUCGGCUUCGAUUCACAUUAUUUAGACUAGAACAAAACCGAACCAGGAACGCCCACUCCUAAUUGGAAGAAGUGUCUGAUUUGACUUUGAUGAAGCACAUGAAAGUGCGAUUUACCAACAUUCUCAGAGAAGAUAAUGGUGCUGCGGAUAAAUUGGCUAACGUGGGAGUUGUGGAAUCUGAGUUAGUUGAUGGCCUGAUCCUCCUGCUAGUAUUUCACCUUUCAUUUUUUAAGAUGCUGAUUGCUCAAGGUCUUCCUAGCCAUAGGUUCACGAGUGUGUUGUUGUAUUUGUAUUGUUACAUGCACAUUUUAUUUCCUUAGUAAUUAUUGAUUAGGUUGCUCUUUUUUUUUUUUGGUUAUAUAUUUUAUUUUUUUUAGUUUUUUAAGGGGGUAAGGGUUCAUUACAUUCCUCAUUUAGGUGCCAUCUUCUUCUUUUUUUUAUUAACAAAAUUUCUCUUUUACCGAAACUGAAUGACACAAAAUUGGUGAGACUUAAAUUAGGAUUCAAUUAUAAGAAUCUCUAAUGUUAAGUCAUAUUUUUAAAUUUUAUAAUUGAACAUACUUUGACACUCGCAAAAAAAAAAAAAAGUAUUGUACGAUUAUUUUUAUUUUCUAAAUUCACCAUCGUGAUCGGAUUCUGUUUCCAAUUUUUAGAGCCCUAGGAACAGGUUUUAUAAAUUGAGUAAUUUUGGAUCUAAAAUUUUGAUGAUGCACAUGGAAAUUUUAUUUAUAAUGAUAAUUAUCAUUACGUAGAUUCGGGAUGAUGAUUUCAAUGAUAUAAAUUUUUAGUUCAAACAGUAAGAUUAUGGCGGCUACCAACAAAUUGUUAACGGCAGUUUCUCAUCUACAGUUGGAGCAUUUCUAGCUAACUAAUAUUAAUAAUAUAUCAUUAUAAAUCUGCUUAAUAUUUUAACUUAUAAUAAAAAGUAACGAAACAUAAAUUAAUGCAAACUCGCGAAAACCAUUGGACUUAAUGUAGCAAAUGCCGCAUUCAUUUUGAAAAUAAAGAGCCAUUUUAAAGCAGGCACAUAAUAAGCCAAACAUGAGACUGCAUUAUUUUAUUCUAUCCAGGCUCAAGUUCUAUAGUGUGUCAAUUGUCAAGGACACCCUAGAAGCCUAGCAAUUGUUAAGUUAUUAACCAACGAAUGUUCUAAAAAAAAAAUAAAUAUAAUAACUUUAAUGGUGAGUUUGACAUACCGUAUUAUUUGCAUUAUAUUUUAUUAACUAUGUUGUAUUAUGGUGCAUUACAUUAGGGUAUAUUGCAUUAAGUUACAACACAAUACCAUAUUUGGAUUAGCACUAUUUUAUCUUAAAAUUAAAAUUAAGUUAAUUUCAUUUAAACU
rnacentral:lncRNA from 1 species